AGAGUUUGAUCAUGGCUCAGAUUGAACGCUGGCGGCAUGCCUUACACAUGCAAGUCGAACGGCAGCGCGGGGCAACCUGGCGGCGAGUGGCGAACGGGUGAGUAAAAUAUCGGAACAUACCCUAGAGUGGGGGAUAACGUAGCGAAAGUUACGCUAAUACCGCAUACGCACUAAGGUGGAAAGUGGGGGGAUCUUCGGACCUCAUGCUCAUGGAGUGGCCGAUAUCUGAUUAGCUAGUUGGUGAGGUAAAGGCUCACCAAGGCGACGAUCAGUAGCUGGUUUGAGAGAACGACCAGCCACACUGGAACUGAGACACGGUCCAGACUCCUACGGGAGGCAGCAGUGGGGAAUUUUGGACAAUGGGGCAACCCUGAUCCAGCAAUGCCGCGUGAGUGAAGAAGGCCUUCGGGUUGUAAAGCUCUUUUGUCAGGGAAGAAACGGUGAGUUCUAAUAAAGCUUGCUAAUGACGGUACCUGAAGAAUAAGCACCGGCUAACUACGUG
rnacentral:rRNA from 1 species